CAGCCUCCUGAGUAGCUGGGACUACAGGUGCGCGCCACCACACCCAGGUGCUCUUCUCCCUGACCCUCCUUCCAUAUUCAUCCUAAACGACAAGACCUUUCCUUAAAAACAAGCAUCUUCUCCUCCCAUCCUAAGACAAGGCUGCCCUUUGUGUGUUAUUUUCAUUAAUUUGUUGAUGCUUGUAUUCAUGCUGCAUUUUAUUGGGCUUGUACUUAAUUUGCUGAAGCACAAAGGUUGUUUAAGCAGAAGGGCACAAGAAAGUGGAAAACUCCUGACCUCAAGGGAUCCGCCCACCUCGGCCUCCCAAAGUGCUGAGAUUACAGGCAUGAGCCACCAUGCCCAGCCACAGGUCUUCCUGCCUCUAUGAUCACCUUCUCAUAACCUUGAGACCACUGCACCUUGAUGAAGUUCAGUUAAUCUACAAUGACUGUAGCCAUCGGAGUGACUCCAGGUGAGACCAAUAGAACUGUCGAAAUAGCCAACACACAGCAUUGUGAGAAACAAUAAAUCAUUGUUUUAAGCCAU